AUCCAACUGACGAGUCCCAAAUAGAACGAAACGCACAACCUGGAU
rfam:Schistosoma haematobium scaffold637_1, whole genome shotgun sequence.